rnacentral:lncRNA from 1 species
CUGGCCGUGCACAGCCAGCAGGGUGGCUUUUUCAUCAAAUAGAUUCAAGAGCAACCUGUACUUCUGCAUCCCAAAAGGCUCCAGAUGUGACCAGCCACUGCAAAAUGAUGAAGAAACUGGAGCAUAAACCAUUUAGAAGACAAACAACUGAAAAUUUCCAGAAGAGCAGAGGAAAUCCCUUCCCUCAGUCAUUUUCUUCUCUGCUCUUUCUCGAAGAGAGCGGCAGGAGAAGGAAGACCCUCGUGACCACGUCAGAAGCAGAAAAGCUGAGGAAGCUGCAGUGCCAGCGCAGAAGAUGUGGGAAGAAAUAUCUACAAACAUUGGAGAUUUCCAUUCGCUUCUUUCUGACCCUUGUAGUUUCUUGACCCUAUAGUUCUGAAUCUGAGCUUGGGCCUCGCCUAGGAAGAGCCUCUGCAAACAAAGCCAAGGGUUUGCAGGCCUGCUGUCCCCUUCUUGAGCACUGGGGAGCCCUUGAGUACCGUGGAGGGAGUGAGGCUCCCGAUGGUUGGCACCAGCCGCCUGAUGUGGC